rnacentral:rRNA from 1 species
AGCAGCCGCGGUAAUUCCAGCUCCAAUAGCGUAUAUUAGAGUUGUUGCAGUUAAAAAGCUCGUAGUUGAAUUUCGGGAUUGACACAUCGGUCGUGCCUUAAGGGGUAUGAACUGGUGUAGUCAGUUUCUCACCUUCUGGAGAACCGCGAUGUCCUUAAUUGGGUGCCGCGAGGAACCAGGACCUUUACUUUGAAAAAAUUAGAGUGUUUAAAGCAGGCAUUUUGCUUGAAUACAUUAGCAUGGAAUAAUAAAAUAGGACGGAUGGUUCUAUUUUGUUGGUUUCUAGGAUCACCGUAAUGAUUAAUAGGGAUAGUUGGGGGCAUUAGUAUUCAAUUGUCAGAGGUGAAAUUCUUGGAUUUAUUGAAGACUAACUACUGCGAAAGCAUUUGCCAAGGAUGUUUUCAUUAAUCAAGAACGAAAGUUAGGGGAUCGAAGACGAUCAGAUACCGU